rnacentral:rRNA from 1 species
GGGUCAGUAGGUUGGUCGUGCCACCGGUACGUACUGGUCUCACUGAUUCCUCCUUCCUGAAGAACCGUAAUGCCAUUAAUUUGGUGUUGCGGGGAAACAGGACUGUUACUUUGAAAAACUUAGAGUGUUUAAAGCAAGCUAACGCUUGAAUACAUUAGCAUGGAAUAAUGAAAUAGGACGAUCGAUCCUAUUUUGUUAGUUUCUAGGAUUGACGUA